ACUCCUACGGGAGGCAGCAGUGGGGAAUAUUGCACAAUGGGCGCAAGCCUGAUGCAGCCAUGCCGCGUGUAUGAAGAAGGCCUUCGGGUUGUAAAGUACUUUCAGCAGUGAGGAAGGUGGAUAUGUUAAUAGCAUACUCAUUUGACGUUAGCUGCAGAAGAAGCACCGGCUAACUCCGUGCCAGCAGCCGCGGUAAUACGGAGGGUGCGAGCGUUAAUCGGAAUUACUGGGCGUAAAGCGUACGCAGGCGGUUUGUUAAGCGAGAUGUGAAAGCCCCGGGCUCAACCUGGGAACUGCAUUUCGAACUGGCAAACUAGAGUGUGAUAGAGGGUGGUAGAAUUUCAGGUGUAGCGGUGAAAUGCGUAGAGAUCUGAAGGAAUACCGAUGGCGAAGGCAGCCACCUGGGUCAACACUGACGCUCAUGUACGAAAGCGUGGGGAGCAAACAGGAUUAGAUACCCUGGUAGCUACG
rnacentral:rRNA from 1 species